rnacentral:lncRNA from 1 species
UGCGCAAUUAUUUGAUACGCUUAAUCUCAGGUUGAUUCACACAGUUGUACUGCUCUUAAGCGUUUGAUUUUCUAUUGGAGAGCAAGAUUUAAUUUCAAUAUGUCAAUAAGAUAAUCUCUGUGGACAAGUUGUCAUUCUUAAACAAACUGGAUUGCAGAAACAAUAAUAUGUUUUCUUUCAAAGACUAGGACCUUAAUCCGAAAUUAGGUUUUCGAAAAUAUCUCCUUUCUAGUCUGCGUGAAUAUGACCCAAAAGGAUCCACCCCAUUGUGAAGAAAGUGAGGAGAAAAAAAAAAUCAAGUUUGAACACAUUAAGUCCUCUUUGCCUGCAAAAAUAUGGUCUUCGAAAUUCUCUUGUUUCUCUCCAGCAACAGUUUUAUGCCUCUCAAGAAUCAGGGAAGAGCACUGGGAUAGGAUUUCCCAACUGACAUUUCCUUCGCAACACUAUCUCGGUCAUAGCUUUAGAACUGUAGAGAACAAUGGAGACACGGGACUUGCACUUUUAUACUCAGUUUUAACACGUUAUACACCAACAUGGAGACAAACAGACAUGUAGUCUUGUCCUUAUAGUCAUAUCAUAGGUUUUGAUCCUCCAUGAGAAACCAAUGAGGCAGCUAACCAAGAAAAAACUAAAUCAAUAAAGAGAGAUGGAUUGUCACAUAAACCGAGAAGCUGCCACAUGGUUAUAAACUCCAUCUUCUACCAUCUGAUCUAACCAGAUAUAAACAAAAAUUCCCCAAAAAAGACAACCAAGAAGUGAGCUCCCUCUAUUUCCAAAUCAUUGAUAUCUUUCCUGAAACCAUCCCAGCUCAAUGCAAUAGAAGUUCUUACAAAUCUAGUAAGGGGCAUGUUUUAAUAACUGGAGAUAUUGUACAGGUGAGGAAACUAAUUAUUCAAAUAUGACUCCCCAACCCUUUUUCUCGUCCUAGAAUUCAUCCUCUCUUCGGUAACCAGUGCUAACUUGCAGCAAGAUGAAGGGACAAUCAUCCUGAGAAUUCUAUUUUGAAGGGCUUAGACUCGAUCUCCUCACAACUGAUUUUGCAUCCCACCCAUGUUCAUGUAACCCAUACUGGUUUCAAUAUAAACAUUCAUAAGGGAUCCCUUUCUCAAGUAAAUAUCCAUUGUCACUUAGCGAGAAAAUACAUAUUUUCCACCUCCAUCUAGGUAAGUUGAGUUAUCACUUAUUAAGUUAUUAAGCCAAUUUUUUUUUUCAACUCCUGAAUUCAGGACUCAGUUUAAUUGCUCUGUUAGAAAAGAUGUUUCGAUA